rnacentral:lncRNA from 1 species
UGGAGAAUCUGCGCUUCUUUUGGAAAAUCCAACUCUCUCUCUCUGAAUCUCGAUCUCUAUAUAUAGCCAGCUCAAGUAAGUUUGCAACAUGGAGUAGUUGAUCCACCAGGAUUUAAUUAGCCAUGAUACAUAUUUAAUCUUGAAUAGGGAGAUUGUGUUCCCCUAAUUUAAUCUUGAUUAUGGUGUCAUGAUUCAAUAAUUAUUCCUACUAGCAACUUGAUCCAUCUUCCUUUCUGCAUGCAUGGAGCUUGAUCAGAUCGAGUACUCAUAAGGAUCGAAAAACUGACAAAGAAGGGGGCUUAAAAACGACGAUUUCUCUUCUCUUCAAUUUUCAGCCAUGUAGCAAAAUAGUUUAGGGUUUUUUUUAUCAAUCUUUUUCCUUUGCUUUAAUUGUUUCUCCAUAUUAAUUUUUCGAGUUAUUAUUAUUAUUAUUAUUUCCUUGUUGGAUUUCGUAGGUUAGUUAGCAUUAUUACUUACAUGUUUUUACUUUCUUAUGUUAUUAAGAUAG